CAGUAGCCGCGGUAAUACAGAGGGUGCGAGCGUUAAUCGGAUUUACUGGGCGUAAAGCGUGCGUAGGCGGCUUCUUAAGUCGGAUGUGAAAUCCCUGAGCUUAACUUAGGAAUUGCAUUCGAUACUGGGAAGCUAGAGUAUGGGAGAGGAUGGUAGAAUUCCAGGUGUAGCGGUGAAAUGCGUAGAGAUCUGGAGGAAUACCGAUGGCGAAGGCAGCCAUCUGGCCUAAUACUGACGCUGAGGUACGAAAGCAUGGGGAGCAAACAGGAUUAGAUACCCCUGUAGUCCCUGUCUCUUAUAU
rnacentral:rRNA from 1 species